CCAAUAGCGUAUAUUAAGGUUGCUGCGGUUAAAAAGCUCGUAGUUGAAUUUUGGGAUUGACACAUCGGUCGUGUCUUAAGGGGCAUGUACUAGCGUAGCCAAUUCCUCACCUUCUGGUGAAUUGGAAUGCCUCUUUAACUGGGUGUUUCAAUGAACUAGGACUUUUACUUUGAAAAAAUUAGAGUGUUUAAAGCAGGCAUUAUUUGCUUGAAUACAUUAGCAUGGAAUAAUAAAAUAGGACGAUGAUUCUAUUUUGUUGGUUUCUAGGAUCACCGUAAUGAUUAAUAGGAAUAGUUGGGGGCAUUAGUAUUCAAUUGUCAGAGGUGAAAUUCUUGGAUUAAUUGAAGACUAACUACUGCGAAAGCAUUUGCCAAGGAUGUUUUCAUUAAUCAAGAACGAAAGUUAGGGGAUCGAAGACGAUCAGAUACCGUCGUAGUCUUAACCAUAAACUAUGCCGACUAGGAAUCAGACGAUGUUGAUUUUUUAAUGACUCGUUUGGCGCCUUACG
rnacentral:rRNA from 1 species